rnacentral:rRNA from 1 species
CGUGACCUACGGGGGGCAGCAGUAGGGAAUCUUCCACAAUGGGCGAAAGCCUGAUGGAGCAACGCCGCGUGGGUGAAGAAGGUCUUCGGAUCGUAAAACCCUGUUGUUAGAGAAGAAAGUGCGUGAGAGUAACUGUUCACGUUUCGACGGUAUCUAACCGGAAAGCCACGGCUAACUACGUGCCAGCAGCCGCGGUAAUACGUAGGUGACAAGCGUUAUCCGGAUUUAUUGGGCGUAAAGAGAACGCAGGCG